UACGUAGGGUGCGAGCGUUAAUCGGAAUUACUGGGCGUAAAGCGUGCGCAGGCGGUUUUGUAAGCCAGAUGUGAAAUCCCCGGGCUUAACCUGGGAAUGGCAUUUGGGACUGCAAGGCUCGAGUGCGGCAGAGGAGACUGGAAUUCCUGGUGUAGCAGUGAAAUGCGUAGAUAUGCGGAGGAACACCGAUGGCGAAGGCAAUCCCCUGGGCCUGCACUGACGCUCAUGCACGAAAGCGUGGGGAGCAAACAGA
rnacentral:rRNA from 1 species